AAAUAGAAACUUAAAAUUGCCAUCGAAUAUUUAUAUAAGCACUAUCUAUUUUUGAUUAGGUUGAUUUAGGUAUCGAAAAUUUUAAUCCUAGAACAUUCUUUGCAAUGCACGGUAUAUAAUUUCAUACAAAUAUAUAAAUGUUACAUUUUAGGUUAUUUUUUGGUAAUUUUGCAAAUAUCCAGUUAUUUUUGUCAAACACACUAGUUAUUUUUUUAGUUUUAAGAAUACCCUACUAAAAAUUUGAUUAAAAAUGUCCAAUUUUUAGAAAAUAUUUAUUUAUACUGGCAUAAACUGUUUUUGCUCAUAUAUUUAUAUUGAUACUGCUCUAAGAUUAUUAAAAAUUAGUCGUAGUUUAUUUAUAGCAAAACCUGCGAUCAUUUUUAGGGGCAAAAUAAUGACAAAAUUUUAUAAUUUUCAAUCUUAGUAUGGUAGUACUUAAUGAAAAAAUUAUCAAAAUUUGUCUCUCUUCAUAACAUUGGUAUGUUGUAUAUAUAUCAUACAUUUUAUACCCUACCAAGCUCAUUUUCAGAAAAAAUAAAAAUAAUUUCUCCCUUCUAUAUAUAUUAAGGCCAUAUUAUGUAAUGUUAAUUAAUUAAUUAGAUUAGAUAUUAUUUAUGUACAGUAGAAACUCGAUAAACCAUCACUGUCGAGACCAGAAAUGUGACAGUUAACAAAAAUUUUGCAUAAACCAAUAUAUUUUCUGCUAUCUUUGAAACACAACACAGUAAUAAUAAAUAAAUUACAAAAACAUGUAAUUCGCAUUCACAGGCUAUUCAUCAAUCUCUGAUUAAAUUAAAAUAAAAGUGAUUAAAUUUAUUUGUUCACGUUGUGUUUAUCACAUAUGUGAGAUAUUUCAAACUAUUUUUAUAUACUUGAUAGUCACUGCAUGCUCACACCGCAAUGAAUUUACGAUGAUCGUCACAUUCAUGUUUUCUUUUUUUUUGAGCGAUGAUUUAUCAGAGAGUGACAGUUAAUCAAAUUUCUACUGUAUAAAAAAAUAAUUAGAUAAUAUAAUACUAAUUUUAUUUUACUUUAGAUAUUGAUGGAAAUGGAUUUUGGGAUGAAGAUGAGCUUAAAGCAUUAUUUGUACGGGAGAUGGAUAAACUUUAUAAACAAGGAAUAUCAAAAGCAGAUUUAAUGGAAAAGGCUGAAGAAAUGGAACGUAUGCGUGAACAUGUUUUAAAUGAGGUUGAUUNUUUGAACUACAAAGACAGCAACAAAUUGAUCAAAUGAUACAAAAUGGACACGUAAGUAUACAUUUGAACAACAAAUUAAUCCAUAUCGAAAUUCUGAAUAUUGUUUUUUAAUUUAUUAAUUAUUUUAGAUUCCACAAUAUCCUCCAGAAUAUUAUCAACACCAUCCAGUAAGUUUAUACAGUGUGUCUACGGAAACGGACCACUUAAUUACUCUGUACAUUACUCAUAUUUUUGAAUUAUACUACUGCGCCUAACCUAACCUAUACUAUUCAAUUUUUGGACUUAACAAUUUUUUCUUUUUGACUCGUCUAUUCUGUGUUUACGCAAUACAACUGACUAAAUUAGAGCUUUUGAAGUUUAAAAGAUUCAGCCUGCUUACAAACAGAAAAUUUAUUUUUAGUUUUGUUAUAAUAAAUGAAAUAUAAUGUAUUGUUAAAAAAAAAUUAUAAAAGUACAAUAAAAAUAAAAUUUUAAUUUAACAAUUGAAAUUCGGUUAGUUUUGAAUUUAAAAUACAAGUUGAUAUAUUAAUGAUACUUGAAAAAUUCGCCCUAUCCAAAUAUGUUUUUAAAAAUAGGGGUUCUCAUUGAAAAAAAUGUAUGUCCAAAAAAUUAAUGGCCCACUAGUAAAAUUUCAUUUUUCGAAAACCGAUUUCAAAAAUAUGUGUAAGGUACAAAUUUAUAAAGUAUUCCCUGUUUCUGUGGACACAAUUUAUUUACAUUUAAGUCAAAAUAAUUUGUGUAUGUAUAUUUUUAUUAAAUAAAACAAUUUUCAAUUGUUAUCUACAGAAUGUUCCAAAUCCCACUUUGAAUCAUGCACUUCCUUAUCAAACAAAUCUCAAUUACCACCAGCCACAAGAACAAUACUAACAACAGCCACAACAGCAAUACCAACAACAACCACAGCAGCAAUACCAACAACACCAAUACCAACAACUGCCACAACAGCAAUACCAACAACAGUCUCAACAGCAAUACCAGCAACAGUCUCAACAACAGGCUGAACAGCAACAUAAGCCACAACAACCAUCACAGACCGAACAAAAACCUAAAGAACCUCAAAUUCAACAGCCACAAGAACAACAACCACUACUUAAACAGUAUGCCCAAGGGCAGCAACAGUAUCAAGCUAUGAAUAGUAAUUCUGGAAAAACACAAAAUACAGGCCGAUUAAAUGACGUCAACUCCAAUAAUAUGUUAAAAAACCAAAAGGAAAAUUAUGGGAAGACAGGACAUAGUAUCAAUAAAAAUCAAUGAAAAACAAAUUAAUAGAAAAAGAUCAAUUUUAUUACAUUUACUUUAUUUUAUACAAAUCCAUGUAGUCAAAUAUUCAGUUCAAUUAUUAAAAUAAUAAAUCUUAACCACAAACCAAUUAUUUUUAUAAAAAUAGUUGUAU